rnacentral:tRNA from 2 species
CGGGGUGUGGCGCAGGUUGGUAGCGCGCUUCGUUCGGGACGAAGAGGUCGCUGGUUCGAAUCCAGUCACCCCGACCA